AUUGAACGCUGGCGGCAUGCCUUACACAUGCAAGUCGAACGGUAACAGGUUAAGCUGACGAGUGGCGAACGGGUGAGUAAUAUAUCGGAACGUGCCCAGUCGUGGGGGAUAACGUAGCGAAAGCUACGCUAAUACCGCAUACGAUCUACGGAUGAAAGCGGGGGAUCGCAAGACCUCGCGCGAUUGGAGCGGCCGAUAUCAGAUUAGGUUGUUGGUGAGGUAAAAGCUCACCAAGCCUGCGAUCUGUAGCUGGUCUGAGAGGACGACCAGCCACACUGGAACUGAGACACGGUCCAGACUCCUACGGGAGGCAGCAGUGGGGAAUUUUGGACAAUGGACGCAAGUCUGAUCGAGCAAUGCCGCGUGCAGGACGAAGGCCUUCGGGUUGUAAACUGCUUUUGUACGGAACGAAACGGUGAGCUCUAAUACUAGGAGCUCAUGACGGUACAGUAAGAAUAAGCACCGGCUAACUACGUGCCAGCAGCCGCGGUAA
rnacentral:rRNA from 1 species